CAUGCCGCGCCGCCAGCGCCAGUGCUCUGGACCACUCCUGGGCAGCUCUGCAGCACCUGCAGCUUUGAGCAGCAUGGUAAGGGGGUGGGGCUGCGAGCUCCAGCGGGCCACCCAGCAUCCAUACACGCUGCCCUGAGCAGCAUGAGAGAAGUUGGGAGUUACAUAGGGAGAGACUUAGCAGGAAAUAAGGAGGUCUGGAGAAUUUUAGAAAAUAUCAUGCUCCCUGGCAUCAAAAUUAACCUCCUCCCUUUCCACCACAACACCUGCUGCAGCUUAUUGCAAGCUGACCACGGAAGAACUUCAUAAAAGUAAAGGAUAUGCAUGAUAUGACCUUACAAACAAUAUUUCACUUGUAUGAAUGGUUGUGAGAUGUGAAUAAAAGAAACUGAGAAUACUA